UACAGAGACGGCAAGCGUUGUUCGGAUUCAUUGGGCGUAAAGGGUGCGCAGGCGGCUCGUUAAGUCGGAUGUGAAAUCUCACAGCCUAACUGUGAUAGGUCAUUCGAAACUAGCGGGCUUGAGGACUGGAGAGGAGACUGGAAUGGUCGGUGUAGCGGUGAAAUGCGUAGAGAUCGACCAGAACACCGGUGGCGAAGGCGAGUCUCUGGACAGUUCCUGACGCUGAGGCACGAAAGCCAGGGGAGCAAACGGG
rnacentral:rRNA from 1 species